ACCGACACAGGUGAUCAGGUAGAGAAUACUAAGGCGAUCGAGAGAAUCAUGGUUAAGGAACUCGGCAAAAUGCCCCCGUAACUUCGGGAGAAGGGGGACCGCAUACUGUGACCAUCCUUUGCGGUUGGUAGCGGUGUGUGGUCGCAGAGAAUAGAGGGAAGCGACUGUUUAUCAAAAACACAGGUCCAUGCGAAGACGUUGAAGUUGAUGUAUAUGGACUGACGCCUGCCCGGUGCUGGAAGGUUAAGAGGACUCGUUAGACUUCGGUCGAAGCGGAGAAUUUAAGCCCCAGUAAACGGCGGUGGUAACUAUAACCAUCCUAAGGUAGCGAAAUUCCUUGUCGGGUAAGUUCCGACCUGCACGAAUGGAGUAACGAUAGCCCCACUGUCUCCUUCCGAGGCUCAGUGAAAUUGAAAUCGCUGUGA
rnacentral:rRNA from 1 species